rnacentral:rRNA from 1 species
GAUGAACGCUGUCUACAGGCUUAACACAUGCAAGUCGAGGGGAAACGACGGGGAAGCUUGCUUCCCCGGGCGUCGACCGGCGCACGGGUGAGUAACGCGUAUCCAACCUGCCUCUGACUGAGGGAUAACCCGUCGAAAGUCGGCCUAAUACCUCAUGGCAUCGUCUGCGGGCAUCCAACGACGAUUAAAGAUUUCAUCGGUCAGGGAUGGGGAUGCGUCUGAUUAGCUUGUUGGCGGGGUAACGGCCCACCAAGGCUACGAUCAGUAGGGGUUCUGAGAGGAAGGUCCCCCACAUUGGAACUGAGACACGGACCAAACUCCUACGGGAGGCAGCAGUGAGGAAGAUUGGUCAAUGGGCGGGAGCCUGAACCAGCCAAGUAGCGUGCAGGAGGACGGCCCUAUGGGUUGUAAACUGCUUUUAUGCGGGGAUAAAGUGAGGGACGUGUCCUUCAUUGCAGGUACCGCAUGAAUAAGGACCGGCUAAUUCCGUG